rnacentral:rRNA from 1 species
GAUGAACGCUGGCGGCGUGCCUAAUACAUGCAAGUCGAGCGAACAGACGAGGAGCUUGCUCCUCUGACGUUAGCGGCGGACGGGUGAGUAACACGUGGAUAACCUACCUAUAAGACUGGGAUAACUUCGGGAAACCGGAGCUAAUACCGGAUAAUAUAUUGAACCGCAUGGUUCAAUAGUGAAAGACGGUUUUGCUGUCACUUAUAGAUGGAUCCGCGCCGCAUUAGCUAGUUGGUAAGGUAACGGCUUACCAAGGCAACGAUGCGUAGCCGACCUGACAGGGUGAUCGGCCACACUGGAACUGAGACACGGUCCAGACUCCUACGGGAGGCAGCAGUAGGGAAUCUUACGCAAUGGGCGAAAGCUUGACGGAGCAACGCCGCGUGAGUGAUGAAGGUCUUCGGAUCGUAAAACUCUGUUAUUAGGGAAGAACAAAUGUGUAAGUAACUAUGCACGUCUUGACGGUACCUAAUCAGAAAGCCACGGCUAACUACGUG